rnacentral:misc_RNA from 1 species
CCGAGUUAUACAACUCCUCAAACCCCUGUGAACAUACCUAACUGUUGCCUCGGCGGGAAUCAGCCCGGCCCCGUAAAACGGGCCGCCCCCGCCAGAGGACCCCUAACUCUGUUUCUUAUAAUGUACUUUCUGAGUAAACAAGCAAAUAAAUUA